GGGGUAGUAAAGGUUUCGACAGGGUAUUAGAAGUCGGAGAAGCAAGCCGUAGGAUGAUGCGUCAAAUCUCAAAUUAAAUAUAAUCGCUGAAGAUAAUUUAGCAUACGCUGCCUAAGUGCAGCAGUCCGCUCUAAGGCACCUACACCUUAGAAUCCGGGCUUCAUCCAUGUAGGAAACGACAUGCACAAAGCUUUGAGUGUAUGGGCGUAUUAUGAAGCUACUGAAACUGUAACCGUGCUGUUCCGGGUACAGCGUAGGGAAUGUAUAUAGAUCAGCUAAGCUUGUAGAAGGACGAUGGAAGGUGCUUUGGACGCGGGUUCGAUUCCCGCCUAUUCCAUAU
rnacentral:tmRNA from 1 species